rnacentral:rRNA from 1 species
CCCCUAGUAACUGCGAGUGAAGCGGGAAAAGCUCAAAUUUAAAAUCUGGCGGUCUUUGGCCGUCCGAGUUGUAAUUUAGAGAAGCGUCUUCCGCGCCGGACCGUGCACAAGUCUCCUGGAAUGGAGCGUCAUAGAGGGUGAGAAUCCCGUCUUUGGCACGGAUGCCUGGWGCUUCUGUGAUGCGCUCUCGAAGAGUCGAGUUGUUUGGGAAUGCAGCUCAAAAUGGGUGGUGAACUCCAUCUAAAGCUAAAUAUUGRCGAGAGACCGAUAGCGAACAAGUACCGUGAGGGARAGAUGAAAAGCACUUUGGAAAGAGAGUGAAACAGUACGUGAWAUUGUUGAAAGGGAAACGCUUGAAGUCAGUCGCGUCGASCGAGACUCAGCCUUGCCUCGGCUUGGUGUACUUCUCGGCCCGACGGGUCAGCGUCAAUUUUGCUCCUCRGAUAAUGGCAAGGGAAAGGUGGCACCUUUAUGGGUGUGUUAUAGUCUCCUGUCGCAUGCGAGGGGUGGGAUUGAGGAACUCAGCGCGCACCUUGGUGUCGGGGCUUCGGCCCACGUCACGCGCUUAGGAUGCUGGCGUAAUGGCUUUAAACGACCCGUCUUGAAACACGGACCAAGGAGUCCAACACGCCCGCGAGUGUUCGGGUGGAAAACCCGUGCGCGUAAUGAAAGUGAAAGUUGGGACCUCUGUCGUGGAGRGCACCGACGCCCGGACCAGACCUUUUGUGACGGAUCUGCGGUAGAGCAUGURUGUUGGGACCCGAAAGAUGGUGAACUAUGCCUGAAUAGGGUGAAGCCAGAGGAAACUCUGGUGGAGGCUCGUAGCGAUUCUGACGUGCAAAUCGAUCGUCAAAUUUGGGUAUAGGGGCGAAAG